rnacentral:rRNA from 1 species
UACGUAGGGGGCAAGCGUUAUCCGGAGUUACUGGGUGUAAAGGGUGGGUAGGCGGCAUGGUAAGCCAGAUGUGAAAGCCUUGAGCUUAACCCGAGGAUUGCAUUUGGAACUAUCAAGCUAGAGUACAGGAGAGGAAAGCGGAAUUCCUAGUGUAGCGGUGAAAUGCGUAGAUAUUAGGAAGAACACCAGUGGCGAAGGCGGCUUUCUGGACUGAAACUGACGCUGAGGCACGAAAGCGUGGGGAGCGAACAGG